CAUAUUGAUUGCAGAAAGAAACUAUGGAAACAUGCCCAAACAGUAAAGCCAUUUGUCUAUAAAUCUUCCUCUGAUGUAAGAGAUCCCAGUUUUCAGGUUAUCUGCUAUUGUGUCUCUUCACAGAAGUGUGGUCCCUGAAGCAUUAUCAGAAGAGGCUGUAAGACUCCAGGCAGACAAACAACAGUGCAUCAUCCCUGUCGGUGAAUUCCCCAUUAGAACACACAUCUCCCUUCCACAUCACAAUGCUGAACAAGGGCUAUGACAGAAGAAAGCCCUGGAGAAUUCUCUGGUUGUCAAAAUGGAUAGAUAGGCUUCUCCAGCAGGGAUCUGAUGCUAUCCUGGUCCUAUGAUGCACGCAGAAGGUUCAAGAUUGCUGUCGCUGCAAGAUCCUUAUUAGGAGUUCAGAUAGACUAAAAUGCCAUAUUCUCAAAAGGAGACAUGAGGUCAUGACAGCAGUUCUUUGAUGGUGUCCCUUCUGCUGUUUGGGGAGCCUUGCAACAGCUAUGUUCCUCAGCAUUAGCAACCUAUGGUCUCAUUACUGGAUACAAGUCAGGUUUUCUCAGAAAAGGACCCAUGUCUGAAAAAAAAACAGAGCAAAACAUCCCUCAAUGGAAGAAAGAGUCGUUAGAAGACAAACCACAAAGAUGUGACAGUUAAAAUGCAGAUGCAUGAAAAUGGGAUUAAAAGAAGAAAAGAGAGGGAAAGAGAAUGAGAAGUGAACCUAAGAAAUCCAAAUUCCUUGGGAGCUUUUAAUAAUAUUUUAGAAACACACUUUGGCUCACUGGUAAAAUCUAGUAUACAUUUAUGCAUUGAAAUACUUAGGAGAUGACAAUGGCUUUUUCUUC